rnacentral:lncRNA from 1 species
AAAAAAACAAAAACAAAAAAAAAAAAAAACAAAGAAAUCUUAGAUGUCUUUUAAUCCUCCAGAUAAAGACCUGUUUGUCUAGAUUAGUCGAAAAAAGAUGUUAGAAUGUAUAUUAAAUUUGAUUGGACUUAAUCGUUGCUAUUACCUGUUCUGAUUAAUCCUUGCAUGGUUGUUCAUAUGAGCCUACAUGCUGCCAAAUCCUCUUAACAUUGAGGUUUUAAUUACUUUUCUGUUGCUGUGAAGAUAUACCAUGACCAGGAUACAAGAAAAAGCAUUUAAUUGAGGGUUUUCGUGUAGUUCAGUGGGUAAGUCCAUAACCUUCAUGGUGAUGAGCACAGCAACAGGCUAAGAGCCUACUUCUUAAUUCCCAAGCCAGAAGCAGCUAGAGAGAGCUCAAGGUAACUGGGAAUGGCAUGGACUUUUGAAACCUCAAAACUCAACCCCAGUGACAUAGCUCCUCCAACAGGGCAACACCUAAUCCUUCUAAAUAGUUCCACCAACCUGGAACCAAACAUUCAAAUAUAUUAGCCUGGAGGGCCAUUCUCAUUCAAAUCACCACAAUCCGUUUGCUGGCCUCAUAAGCCCAUGGUGUAGUAUGUAUUCAGUCCAACUUCAAAAGUCCUCAUAGCCUUUCAUAGUCUCAGUAUUUUAAAAGGUCAUAGCCUUGAGGUUGGAGAGAUUGCUCAGUGGUUAGAGCAUUGGUUAUGUUUGCAGAGCCCUAUCAAUCACAUGGCAACUCAGAACCAUCUGCAACUCCAGUCUAAGGAGUUACAUGAUGCCCUGUUCUGUCUUCUGAGGGCACUGCUCUCAUACAAGUUCAAUGUCUUCUCUGAGACUCAAAGCAAUCUCUUUAAUUGUAACCCUGUUAAAAUUCAAAAAGCAAGUUACGUUCUUCUAACAUACAAUGGCACAGAAUAUAUUUCCAUUACAGAAGAGGGAAAGUGAGGAAAUACUGGGCCUAAUCAAAACUAAGCAAGGUAAACUCCAAAUCUGUAGAUCCAUGUAAUUGGGGGCUUACUUACAGUUUCAAAGGGUUAUUAUUAGUCCAUGACCAUCAUAGUUGGGUACCAUGGCACUGCAGCAGUAACUGAGAGUUUACAUCUGAUUCACAAGCAGAAGGCAGUGAGAGAGCUAACUGGGGCUGGCAUGAGCUUUGGAAAUACCCCCAGGGGACACACCUCAUCCAGCAAGGCCACAACUUCUAAUCCUACCAAACAGUUCAGUCAACUGGGGCCAAGUAUUCAAACAUAUGAGUCUAUGGGUGUUGUUAAUUUUUUCUUUGCUUUGGACAAUUACAUAGUUCCAUCAUCAUAUCCAAAACAUGAUUCUGAAAAUAAAGAGUGGCAUAUAGGAAAAUGUGUAGGUUUUGAUGAGCAUGAUGCUAGAUUAUGCUUUGUUUCACAUCAACACUCUUAUGAAUGAAUAAAAAUUCAUCUAGUGCUUUCUAAUGAAUGAAAAAAUCAUUGCUAUAUGUUAAAUAGGGAAAUACCUAUUUCCAUUGCAGAAUCUUCCAAGGUGAUUGGAAGAAUCAUUAUAAUUUUUCCCCUUUAAAUCACUAUGUUAAAGUGGUAGCAUAGUAGAUAUAAGAAAUGCCUUGCUAUAAGGUUGUAUUUUUGUGUUAAUAUUAAUAAAAGACAUAGUUUUCACUUUUUGCAAUCUUAAAUUUUUUUUUUAAUUUAUAUUUUGGCUCCUAAGCACACCAUGUGCCACUGUGCUUCUCUUUGUGUUUUCAUGGUCUGGUGAAGUAGCAUCAGGUCACUCUCUGACCCUGUUCACCUCUCACAUCUCCACCUGCUGCCAUCUUCAGUUAUGAUGUUUAGUUUCACAUCAACGUUCAUCUGAAUGAGUAAAUAGUCAUCUAGUACUUACUAAUGAAUGAAAAAUCAUUCCUAUAUGAUGGAAAUAGGAAAAUUUUGAGGCUAGGACUAGGAAACCAAAAUACAAGAACAUGCAGGUUAAGUUAGCAGAAGGCCCCUGGCCACCUCAGCUGUAGGGAAGUUUGAUUGUGGAGGAAUGGUGUGACAUGGCUUUUCACAGCUCACGCUGGUUGCUUUGUAAAGAAAGAGUUGUGUCAGGACAGAGAUGGAGAAAGGAAGCGGGCACCAGUAGUCUCCAGGAUUGAAAUGAUGAUGCCUGCCGUGAGAGAGUAGUAGCUGGUUUGGGGAGAAUUAAAGAGUAUGUUUGACUCAAAGGUAGACUCAGUGGAUCUAAAUAAGUAAUUCGCUAAACUGGACCAAAAAGCUGCUGAGACUGCCUAUGGGUGAAGGAAGUCUUGAAGGGAUUUCCUGUGGCUGUGGUUCAUAGUCUGUAUGCUUACUACAAGCAUUCUUUGUGGUGCUGCAGACUGACCCCAGAGCCUUGUAUGUGCUGUGCAAGCACUCUGCCACUGGGCUACAUACAUCCCCAGCCAUGUAUUGCAAGGGAAACUCGGGCUGUAGUUUUGAAAAUAACUUAUUUUAAAGGUGUUAAAGGCAUAAAGUAUUUUAAGGAGUGGAACUGUGGUUUCCUUUUUCUCUCCAUAAUGACAUAAUGUUAGGUAAGACUUUACACUAAUCAUGUGAAGAACUACCUAAUAGUGUUUACCUUGAAAGCUGGAUUUAAACUGUGCCAAGUCUCUACUUAUCUUGUCAAUAGAUCAUAGAUGAAAAGGGACCAAAGACAUAUCCAAGGAGGAGCCAAUUGCUUGUUUGAACUUCAAGAGGUCCAGGUAGCAAAUAAAAAUAUGAGAUUUUAGAAUGUCAUAUAUUACUAUU